rnacentral:rRNA from 1 species
UACGGAGGAUGCAAGCGUUAUCCGGAAUGAUUGGGCGUAAAGCGUCCGCAGGUGGCUAUGUAAGUCUGCUGUUAAAGAGUGAGGCUCAACCUCAUAAGAGCAGUGGAAACUACAUGGCUAGAGUGCGUUCGGGGCAGAGGGAAUUCCUGGUGUAGCGGUGAAAUGCGUAGAUAUCAGGAAGGACACCGGUGGCGAAAGCGCUCUGCUAGGCCGCAACUGACACUGAGGGACGAAAGCUAGGGGAGCGAAUGGG